AGAGGGGGCAAGCGUUAUUCGGAAUUAUUGGGCGUAAAGGGCGCGUAGGCGGCUUUGCAAGUGACGGGUGAAAGCCCUCGGCUUAACCGAGGAACUGCCUGUCAGACUGUGAGGCUUGAGACCGGGAGAGGUGAGUGGAAUUCCCAGUGUAGCGGUGAAAUGCGUAGAUAUUGGGAGGAACACCAGUGGCGAAGGCGGCUCACUGGACCGGAACUGACGCUGAGGCGCGAAAGCGUGGGGAGCAAACAGGAUUAGAUACCCUGGUAGUCCACGCCGUAAACGAUGAGUGCUUGGUGUAGCGGGUAUCGACCCCUGCUGUGCCGAAGUCAACACAUUAAGCACUCCGCCUGGGGAGUACGGUCGCAAGACUGAA
rnacentral:rRNA from 1 species